rnacentral:rRNA from 1 species
GAUGAACGCUGGCGGCGUGCCUAAUACAUGCAAGUCGAGCGAACAGACGAGGAGCUUGCUCCUCUGACGUUAGCGGCGGACGGGUGAGUAACACGUGGAUAACCUACCUAUAAGACUGGGAUAACUUCGGGAAACCGGAGCUAAUACCGGAUAAUAUAUUGAACCGCAUGGUUCAAUAGUGAAAGACGGUUUUGCUGUCACUUAUAGAUGGAUCCGCGCCGCAUUAGCUAGUUGGUAAGGUAACGGCUUACCAAGGCAACGAUGCGUAGCCGACCUGAGAGGGUGAUCGGCCACACUGGAACUGAGACACGGUCCAGACGCCUACGGGAGGCAGCAGUAGGGAAUCUUCCGCAAUGGGCGAAAGCCUGACGGAGCAACGCCGCGUGAGUGAUGAAGGUCUUCGGAUCGUAAAACUCUGUUAUUAGGGAAGAACAAAUGUGUAAGUAACUAUGCACGUCUUGACGGUACCUAAUCAGAAAGCCACGGCUAACCACGUG